rfam:Paramecium tetraurelia chromosome undetermined scaffold_19, whole genome shotgun sequence.
GAUCAUAUGGCCGAGUGGUCUAAGGCGCUGCAUUCAGGCUGCAGUCCGAAAGGGCGAGGGUUCGAAUCCCUCUGUGGUCA